rnacentral:rRNA from 1 species
AUACAUACAUACAUACACGCGCACGCACACCUGCCCGGCAUCCGCACCUGACCUUCUCCCCUACCGCGCCUCGGCUCGGCCAGUCAACCAUGGGGGACGCCACGGCCUCGGCCUCGGCGAGCACCAAGACGGCGGAGCUGGACGCGCCGCUCAGCGCCCUGGGCUUCGAGAUGGAGGAGGUCUCGCCGUCGCGGCUCACCGGCCGCCUCCUCGUCACGGACACCUGCUGCCAGCCGUUCAAGGUGCUGCACGGCGGCGUGUCGGCGCUGAUAGCUGAGGGCCUGGCGAGCAUGGGCGCGCACAUGGCGUCGGGAUACCGCCGCGUCGCCGGCAUGCAGCUCAGCAUCAACCACUUCCGGAGCGCCGCCGCCGGCGACACCGUCCUCGCGCGGGCCGUCCCCGUCCACAUCGGCCGCUCCACCCAGGUAUGGGAGGUGAAGCUCUGGAAAAUGGAUGCAUCCACACAGGGGGAAGGGCCUCUAAUCGCCGAGGCAAGGGUCACGCUCCUCUGUAAUCUGCCGGUGCCGGAUGAGAUGAGAAGUGCGGGAGAAUCCCUUAGAAAAUACUCUAAAUUGUAAAACUCGGGACAAAUUAAGCUUGACAUGGGAUGAUCCAUUGAUAUGUGAUUCUGUGAAAAUAUAUUCUUGUAAGCUUCUUACUUUUCACUUGUGCGAACACUGAUGGAUCAACUCGGCAGAAACAAGCUUCGUGUGUGUGGUUGAUGGACCUCACUAUCCAGCAAUUACUAAUUUCGAAUGUGCUUCAAUUUUGUAUCUAUUCAUUAUUCCAGUAUAUAUAUAUAUGUAGUUUUACGGUGAUUGUGGAGUUACGAAACGUAAUUUCAUGUAACUCCUCCUUUGAUUAUUCUCCACCGUUGAUUUAAACCUAUUAAGUAAAAAAAAUUAAGUUUAAUCAACAAGGGUAUUAUGGUCAUGGGUGACUGUUUUUUUAGCAUGUCUGUCAAUUCCCUUGUCAAUCGCCCGCAUCUGGCCUAACCCAUCUCGCACGAGGACCUGGAGACGGCGGCGCAGGAGCGAGGACCGGGCGACGCCGCCAGCGCGAGGACCUAGAGGCGACGCCGCCGGCGCGAGGUCAUGGAGGCGAAGCCCCGUCUUUGGUUGGUCGCUGUGGCCGCUCCCUCACGGCCCCGCCGACACCGGCGCGAGGUCCUGACGACGCUGACCCGAGAUGGAGGCCCCGCCUGCGCUUGGCCGUAGUGGUGUACCAACGCAGCAAGGUAUCUCUUCCCCUGCCCCCGUCUCUUCCUUCCGUCCCUCCCUCCCUGCUGUUAGUUUUGCCGGCGGCGGACCAACUGCUCGUUGCAGCACCUUCAUAUAUAUAUAUCCAGUUAGGGUUGAGCAGUGAACACACCUCAUUUAGAUAUUCCAGUACUGAAAUUGGUGGGGGACAAACACUGACCUCUGAAUUGCCUAUUGUUGAUUACAAAAUGUUGGUAACAUAGUUUCAUUUGUUGAUGGAUUAGUCUGUGUGGUCAGACAUCUGUCGGAGUCUUGGCUAGGAUGGCAGAGAGAUGCUACAUUUGUGGACUGAUUCAUGCGUAAUUAAGCUACCUGGUGAUGAAAAAUAGGUGCAACUUGAAGUAAUGAAUCGUUAAAUAUUCCUUGCUAUGAUAAAGUUUUCAGAACUAUGGAAAGUGUGUUAUAUGCUGCUUAGAGGUUAUAUAGCUGGAGGCGCCUAACAAUUGUAGAAGACAGUCUGCAUUGGUUUUGUCUUUUGUGUGUACAUCAGUGUGUCAUAAAUUCAUAAACUGUAGUAUCAGUCUUCUCAGUGCAAAACUGGGGACUACAAUUCCAUGGCACUCACAUGCUGAGAACUUCAAAGAGUAAAUCAUGAGUCGUCAGUGAACUUUUGUUCCAAGCUCACUGCGCAGCGCCUACGGCGGACAUUCAGAUAUUGAGAUGUGGACCUCCUCCACUGAAGAAAGCCAUGGCUGCAAACCUAGAUGACCUUGGGUACAUCAAGGAGAUGCAGUUCCAGUUCUAAGUUUCAACGGUGCAAGCUACCAAAAUAAUGGUCGCAUGGCCGUUCUUAUUAUUUUCAGUUUGACAUGAGCUGACUGAUACCAUUUAGCUCGUCCGAAAAAAAACUCCAUAGUCCAUGAAGUGUCAUUUCUGAUGAAUGAUAGUAACCCUAAUUGAGAGGUUGUGUCACUGUACCGUG